GGAUUAGAUACCCUGGUAGUCCACACCGUAAACGCUGUCUAUUAGCUGUUUGUGUAUCUGAUACGUGAGUAGCGAAGCUAACGCGCUAAAUAGACCGCCUGGGGAGUACGGUCGCAAGAUUGAAACUCAAAGGAAUUGACGGGGGCCCGCACAAGCGGUGGAGCAUGUGGUUUAAUUCGAUGCAACGCGAAGAACCUUACCUGGGUUUGACAUUUAAGCUAACCAUUUAGAGAUAGAUGGGUAUCCCGGCUUGCCGGGACUGUUUAAACAGGUGCUGCAUGGCUGUCGUCAGCUCGUGUUG
rnacentral:rRNA from 1 species